rnacentral:rRNA from 1 species
AUGCACGCUAGCUACAGGCUUAACCCAUGCAAGUCGCGGGGAAACGGCAUCGAAAGCUUGCUUUUGAUGGGCGUCGACCGGCGCACGGGUGAGUAACGCGUAUCCAACCUGCCCAUCACUUGGGAAUAACCUUGCGAAAGUAAGACUAAUGCCCAAUGACAUCCCACGAAGGCAUCCGAAUGGGAUUAAAGAUUUAUCGGUGAUGGAUGGGGAUGCGUCUGAUUAGCUUGUUGGCGGGGUGACGGCCCACCAAGGCAACGAUCAGUAGGGGUUCUGAGAGGAAGGUCCCCCACAUUGGAACUGAGACACGGUCCAAACUCCUACGGGAGGCAGCAGUGAGGAAGAUUGGUCAAUGGGCGAGAGCCUGAACCAGCCAAGUAGCGUGCAGGAGGACGGCCCUAUGGGUUGUAAACUGCUUUUAUAAGGGAAUAAAGUGGGUCACGUGUGACUUUUUGCAUGUACCUUAUGAAUAAGGACCGGCUAAUUCCGUG